CGUGGGUAACCUGCCUUGUACAGGGGGAUAACAGUUGGAAACGGCUGCUAAUACCGCAUAAGCGCACAGCAUCGCAUGAUGCAGUGUGAAAAACUCUGGUGGUAUAAGAUGGACCCGCGUUGGAUUAGCUAGUUGGUGAGGUAACGGCCCACCAAGGCGACGAUCCAUAGCCGACCUGAGAGGGUGACCGGCCACAUUGGGACUGAGACACGGCCCAAACUCCUACGGGAGGCAGCAGUGGGGAAUAUUGCACAAUGGGCGAAAGCCUGAUGCAGCGACGCCGCGUGAGCGAAGAAGUAUUUCGGUAUGUAAAGCUCUAUCAGCAGGGAAGAUAAUGACGGUACCUGACUAAGAAGCACCGGCUAAAUACGUGCCAGCAGCCGCGGUAAUACGUAUGGUGCAAGCGUUAUCCGGAUUUACUGGGUGUAAAGGGAGCGCAGGCGGUGCGGCAAGUCUGAUGUGAAAGCCCGGGGCUCAACCCCGGUACUGCAUUGGAAACUGUCGUACUAGAGUGUCGGAGGGGUAAGCGGAAUUCCUAGUGUAGCGGUGAAAUGCGUAGAUAUUAGGAGGAACACCAGUGGCGAAGGCGGCUUACUGGACGAUAACUGACGCUGAGGCUCGAAAGCGUGGGGAGCAAACAGGAUUAGAUACCCUGGUAGUCCACGCUGUAAACGAUGAAUACUAGGUGUUGGGAAGCAUUGCUUCUCGGUGCCGUCGCAAACAC
rnacentral:rRNA from 1 species